rnacentral:misc_RNA from 1 species
CCUAAUAGCUUUAAAGUUUAAUAUUCGUUUGUUCUCGAAUAUUGUUUAUAAUUGUGAGUGAGCUGAUUACCUGUGAAGGGGGCAGCUCCAUAUCAUCAAUUGUCAAAAAUUCUUUUCUGAAAUUUGAUACUUUUAUUUUUACCUAUGUACUCUAUGGUGUGUAGGCAAGAUUCAGUAGUGGUUUUGGUGCUUCUGUGUAAGGUAGGUGGAACAGAAACAAAAUUUUCACUGGAUAGGGCUGCUGAAGAAGUAUGCAUGUAGUAGGGAAUACUGUGUGUGUAAGCGUCUGACAUGCAUACACUGAUUUUGCAAAGCAGCCAACCUGAGUGGCAUCUUCUAUCUUCUAUCAGUUUGGGUGCCCAUAAUGUGGCCCAACCAUUUGUUCUCAUAAAACAAAAAGUGGUAUCCUUCUUAGGAAAUUAUUACUGGGACCAGUUAGUAUUUUGCCACAUUACACACCGUGUUUUGCAUGGUAUGUCCAUUGCAUUGAUCCAAUAAUUAUAUUAGUUGAUCGUAAAGUUUCUGGCAUUGGCCAAGAAACGACAUGCUGCACGAUUAGCAUCUAAGAUAUACGUCUUUUGAUUUGUAUUCAGAUGCCCAUGUUGGAUUGUGAUAAUGCUCUUUUUCCAAGAUAUUUAUUUACUAUAGUGCUUUCUCACUAUUCAAACAUGUGCUUUCAUGGUGCAAGACACUGGUUUCAUCAUAUGUGUGGCUUCAAUAUUGCUUAUCGUGGCUUCAAUUUCAAGCGUAGAGCGUGCUUGAUCCAUUGCUUCAAUUGCAAGCUCGAAGAUGUUUAAUGAAAAGCUUGUCAUUGCCAUUUUGUUUAUGUCAAAUUCUGAAACUAUUCAUCUAGUAUAUGAAACCUUUAACCAGGAUGAUGGGACAGUGUACUGUAGUGAAGUAAUGACUUGCUUUAUUUCCUCUUUCCAUGGCUGAAAGCGGCCAU